GGACCCGGCGGCUCUAACGAGGAGCGCUCCCUUCACACGGGAGAGGUCCAAGGUUCGAUCCCUUGUGCGUCCACCA
rnacentral:tRNA from 6 species